rnacentral:sRNA from 1 species
UUCCUCAGAUGAUGGCCGGGUUCUCAUUUGGGACAUCCGGGAAUCUCCCCAUGGAGAGCCCUUCUGCCUGGCAAACUAUCCAUCAGCCUUUCAUAGUGUCAUGUUUAACCCUGUGGAGCCCAGGUUGUUGGCCACAGCCAAUUCAAAGGAAGGAGUGGGACUCUGGGAUAUUCGAAAACCUCAGAGUUCUCUCCUGCGCUAUGGUGGAAACCUGUCCCUCCAAAGUGCCAUGAGUGUACGAUUCAACAGCAACGGGACCCAGCUCCUGGCCCUGAGGCGACGCCUGCCCCCUGUGCUCUAUGACAUCCAUUCCCGCCUGCCUGUGUUUCAGUUUGACAAUCAGGGUUACUUCAACUCAUGCACCAUGAAAAGCUGCUGUUUUGCAGGAGAUCGUGACCAGUAUAUCCUUUCAGGCUCUGAUGACUUCAACCUGUACAUGUGGAGAAUUCCUGCAGAUCCAGAAGCAGAUCUGGAGCCCAUACAAGCAGCCAGGAUGUACUGGAGACCUCGAUGGUCGGAUUGAGGACGAUUCCCGCUGUCUCUAUACCCAUGAAGAGUACAUCAGCCUUGUGCUGAACAGUGGGAGUGGCCUGUCGCAUGACUACGCCAACCAGUCGGUCCAGGAAGACCCCCGGAUGAUGGCCUUCUUUGAUUCCCUCGUACGCCGAGAGAUCGAGGGCUGGAGCUCUGACUCAGACAGUGACCUCAGUGAGAGUACUAUCCUCCAACUGCACGCAGGGGUCAGCGAGCGCUCAGGCUACACUGACUCAGAAUCUUCAGCCUCACUGCCUCGCUCCCCGCCUCCCACAGUAGAUGAGUCUGCCGACAACGCCUUCCACCUGGGGCCCCUCCGGGUCACCACCACAAAC